rnacentral:rRNA from 1 species
AUUGAACGCUGGCGGCAGGCCUAACACAUGCAAGUCGAACGAGUGGCGGACGGGUGAGUAAUGUCUGGGAAACUGCCUGAUGGAGGGGGAUAACUACUGGAAACGGUAGCUAAUACCGCAUACCAUCGGAUGUGCCCAGAUGGGAUUAGCUAGUAGGUGGGGUAAAGGCUCACCUAGGCGACGAUCCCUAGCUGGCCUGAGAGGAUGGCGGGAAAAACUGGAACUGAGACACGGUCCAGAGAGAGGAGGGGGGGGGGGGGGGGGGGGAGGGGAGAGGUGGCGCAAGCCUGAGGCAGCCAUGCCGCGUGUAUGAAGAGUGGGGUCGGGUGGGACGGUACUUUCAGCGGGGAGGCGUUACCCGCAUAAGAAGCACCGGCUAACUCCGUGCCAGCAGCCGCGGUAAUUC